UUUUUCCACCUCUCCCUUCUCUCUCAGUUUUUCCCUGUAGCCUUAUCCUCCCCCUAGUGUUCAUAUAGAUUUUUACUUUGUGUAAGCAACUGAAAUUUUCGAGUUGGAAAUAGAGGCCCGAAUCUUCCACAUGUCCGCUGGGAUUCAACAAAUUUAUCUGUGAUUUUUGUUGUUCACUGUGCUGAGUUUUUCCCAUUUUCGUGCUUGUCUACGAUUUGAUUUUCCCGGAGUUUGGUUUGAUUGCAAGCGAUGAUUUUUGGGGAGUUGUUUCGUGCCUAGGUGAAUUUCAUCUAUGUCAAGUUUGGAAGUGAUUCAUGGAGUUUUGAGUCUGAUUUCAUCGAUUCUUGCGCCGUCUGUUCCUUCCUUGGAAGUUUCUGUUCGUACUCAGGAAGUCCUGUAUGGAAUCGGUCUGAGCGCCAUCAGCUCUGGUGCUCAAGCACUGCGAGUGCUCAGGUGAGCGGCGCCCAUCACUAGUUCAAGUGCUUGUCUGCUCGCUCUCCCGUACGCCGGCUUGCUUGUGUGUUCUAUCUGUGAAGUGCAGUUCGUUCUUGCCUCUGUUCUUUUCUCAGUACUAGUCAGUUUUUGCAGAGCAGCAGCGCCUCAGCUUCUUGCGCUCAGAAUCGAGUUCGUGGCAGCACUACCAACACCGGUGUUCAGGCACCGUGUCCGCUCGUUCAAGCAGUGUUUGCCGUGGGUCGUUGUGGCCAGCUGCUCAUCCAGGUGUUGUUUUGUUCCUUGCGUGAUUGACUGGUGUAGUUCUCUAGCAGUGCUUCUGUUCUGGAGCCAAUCACAGCAGCUUGUUCUCUUGAUUUUGUGAUUGGUCAUCGAUUUGGAUAGUCAGUGCCCUGCCGAUGGCAUCCAGUGGGAGCUCCGAUGCGGGUUGCAGGCAGCCUCUCUGUGAGGAUACUAGUUCAUGCUCGUAUAGGUUUUUGGUUGAUUCUCAUCAGGUGUUGGUUAGUUAGAAAUUGCAGAAGUUCGUGAUUACCUAGAGCCAUCAUUUUGGUUUAUUUGAGAGUCUCGUUCCUGCCCGUGAGUGGCCAUAAAAUUUCCUGCCUACUGGCUUGUGUUUUUAAGUGAUUUUCUUGUCAGUCUUUUUAGGUGUUUUUCUGUCCAAUUUAUUCUUCUUUGAUUUCCUGUUUUGUUCGUAUUUUGGUUGUUCGAGCUCCGAUUUGAUUUCCGUUAGUUGCGUUCGUCUUCUAUCGUUGUAAGGAAUUUUAUCUAAUUGCUCUUGUCACCAGUUGACUUGAGUAAUUUAGUUUCGGGUACUUAUUUGUGUUUGGCGGUGAUUUGGGACAGUGGCUAAAAUUAUUUCGAAAGAAAAUUUACGGCUCCCAUUCACCCCCCCUCUGGUCGCCGCUUUUGGUCUUUCAAUUAGUAUCAGAGCCAGUUAAGGAUCAUUCCACCUUAAUCGGUCCGUGAUCCACGAAUGCGACAUGGAGCGUGGUUCCGUUAAACCACCGUUCUUCGAUGGAACAAAUUAUCCCUAUUGUAAAAUACGCAUGUCUGCUCAUCUCCAGGGGAUUGAUUGGCUAGUUUGGGAAAUUUGCGAGGAUGCUACUUUCGUUGUGCUUGAACCUCGUGCUCGAACCACGCAAGAUCAAAAAGAUUGGCACAACACAAAUAGCAGAGCAAGAUCUGUUCUUUUCUCGAGUCUUUCGCUUCCUGAGUUCGAGCGUAUCUCUGAUUGUGCUACUGCUCGAGAGAUCUGGGUGAGGCUUCAGAGCUAUCACGAGGGUACAGCCCAUGUCAAAACCAGACUUUAUGAGACGUACAAGAGAGAGUAUGAGAACUUCACUCAGCUUGAUGGCGAGUCCAUCGAUGCCAUAUUUUCUCGUUUUCAGACGAUCAUUAACAAGAUGCGAGCAAACACGGCACAGCUACCUUAUGAUGAUCAUGAGAGGGCUCUCAAGCUUCUAUAUGCCCUAGAUCGGAAGGUUUGGGAUGUGAAGGUAUCCGCCAUUAUCGAGUCUUCGAACUACGACACCAUCACUGUGGACGAGCUGUUCAGCAAGCUCAAGUCCACCGAGAUCGACUACCAGACUCAAGCCAAACUCAAGAAUCCCUCUGCACCGACUAUGGCUUUAGUCUCAGGUAACCGUUCAAGUUCUUCAGCUAACCCUUCACAGAUGUCGUUCGCCUUGUCUUCCUUGGUGUCUAUUUCAGAGGAGCAGUUGGAGACCCUUGGGGAUGACGAGCUGGCGUUGAUCAUUAGCCGGUUCUCGCGGUUCCACAACAACCGCUUGAACCGCCGCCGCGGCGGUGAUCAAAAGGUGUGCUGCUACAACUGUGGAGAUCUCGACCACUUCGUCGCCCACUGCCCCAAGAAGAACAAGCACUCCUUCGACAAGUACGACUCCGGCAAGCGCAAGGACAAGCACGACUACACCUCCAAGAAGCACAAGUCAAAGAAGGGCUUCGACAAGGAGGUGCUCAAGAAGAUGUACCGCAAGAAAGCCAAGGCGCAAGAGCGUGCCUUUCUUGCUUCCCUCAGCGACCUCGACAAUGACUCUGGCGAUGACCGCUCCUCUUCUCCCUCGAGUGACGAUGAGUCCGAGAGGAAGAUGGAGAAGCUGACCGGUCUUUGCUUCAUCGUCGACUCCACUCACGGAGGCUUCUGCACCAUGGCGAUUGAUGAAGAGGUGAAGGCCAGCAAGGAUGAGGUCUCCUUCAACGACGACACCUCCGAGAUCGGAGGCCUGGAGAAUACGUGGCUUGUUGAUUACGGUUGUUCGCGCCACAUGGCCGGAAGUUCAAAAUGGUUCUCCAGCCUCGACCCCGUGCAAUGUAAGGAGUACAUCACAUUCGGGGACAAUAGCAAAGGUAAGGUGCUUUCUCGUGGGACCAUUCGGGUCAAUGAGAGUUUUGUCUUGAAGGAUGUUGCUUUGGUUUCAAAUUUGCAUUUCAAUUUGCUUUCGGUUUCGCAACUCCUUCAGGAUGGUUUUGAGGUGCGCUUUAAGACUGGCUUGUCUCGAGUUCUUGAUUCUCAGAGAAAUCUUGUUUGCCAGAUUGUCCCUUUUGGUCAUGUCUUUCGAGCUGAUUUUUAUCACUCUUUUGGCUCUUCUCGUUGUCUUGUGGCUGGAUCCUCUUCUCAUCUUUGGAAGUGGCAUAGGAGACUUGGUCAUUUGAGCUUUGACUUACUAGCUAGGUUGAGCUCACUUGACUUAAUCCGAGGAUUGCCUAAAUUGAAAUUUGAGAAGGAUUUGGUUUGUCACCCUUGUCGUCAUGGGAAGAUGGUUGCCGCUUCUCACCCUCCUGUGACUCAGGUCAUGACCAAGGAACCCGGUGAGCUACUUCAUAUGGACACAGUUGGUCCGGCUCGAGUUCGGUCAGAGGGAGGGAAGUGGUAUGUUCUAGUGAUUGUGGAUGACUUUUCUCGCUACUCUUGGGUGUUUUUCAUGGAGGGUAAGGAUGAGGCUUUUUCUCAUGUUCAAGAUUUGAUUCUUCGGUUACAAACUGAGUUGCCUAAGAAUGCCAUGAGAGCUAUACGCAGUGACAAUGGCACAGAAUUCAAAAACACUUAGUUUGAUACCUUCUGUGCUUCCUUGGGUCUCGAGCACCAGUUUUCCUCUCCUUAUGUUCCCCAGCAAAAUGGUGUUGUUGAGCGCAAAAAUCGGACCCUUGUUGAGAUGGCCAGGACGAUGCUCGAUGAGCAUAGGACUCCUAAGAGAUAUUGGGCCGGGGCGAUCAACACCGUCUGUCAUGUCUCCAAUCGCAUUUUUCUUCGAGCCUUCUUGAAAAAGACUUCUUAUGAGUUGCGAUUUGGUAGACUACCCAAGGUAAGUCACUUCAGGGUAUUUGGUUGCAAGUGUUUCAUCCUAAAGCAAGGUAAUUUAGACAAAUUUGAGUCUAGGUCCUCCGACGGUAUUUUUCUUGGUUAUGCUUCUCAUUCUCAAGCAUAUCGUGUACUUAACCUUGAAACUAACCGAGUCGUGGAGACCUGUGAGGUCACAUUCGAUGAGACUAUGCCUUGUUCUUCUCUUGUCUUUGAAUGUGCAGGUGAUCAGGAGAUUGGUGAGAGCAUCUUUGUUGAGGAUGAUGCAGAAGAUGCCGAUUGGGGUGAUCCCGAGCCAACACCACUGGCUGCCCCUCUCGAGUCUUCGACAACUACUUCGCCUGAUGGCCCCAAUCCUUCUUCUUCCACUACUUGGGGUCCGAUCGAGCAGCCUCCUCAGCCUACACCGGCUGUCCCUGAGGAGGCCCUAGCUGCAGUCGAGGGGGAGGUGACUUCUUCAAGGGAAGCACCUCGACACAUUCAGCGUCGCCAUCCACCUUAGACCAUGAUUGGUGAAAUUGACCAGCAAAUCACGCGGUCCAGGUCAUAUCACAUCUCACACUUCGCUUAUUCUGCUUUUGUUGCUUCUUUUGAGCCUCGAGAUGUUGGACACGCACUAUCUAAUUCCGAUUGGGUUAAUGCUAUGCAUGAGGAGUUAGAAAACUUUGAGAGAAACAAGGUUUGGGUUUUAGUACCGCUUCCACCAGAUUGCCAUCCCAUAGGUACCAAGUGGGUUUUCAAAAACAAACAGAGUGAAGAUGGGGUGGUAGUGAGGAACAAGGCUAGGUUGGUAGCUCAGGGUUUUGUCAGAAAGAGGGGAUAGACUAUGAGGAAACCAUUGCUCCUGUUGCCCGUCUAGAAGCCAUUAGGAUCCUUUUAGCCUUUGCAGCUUCAAAAGGGUUCAAGCUGUAUCAGAUGGAUGUCAAGAGUGCUUUCUUAAAUGGGUAUAUAGAGGAAGAGGUCUAUGUGAGACAACCCCCUGGCUUUGAAAAUCCUAAGUUUCCUAACCAUGUUUCUAAACUCCAUAAAGCCUUGUAUGGUCUAAAACAAGCCCCGAGAGCCUAGUAUGAGCGUUUGAAAGCCUUCUUGCUUGCAAAGGAUUUUAAAUUGGGUUCUGUUGAUAAAACUUUGUUUCUCCUCAAGCAAGGCACUGACACUCUUUUGGUUCAGAUAUACGUGGAUGAUAUCAUUUUCGGUGGCUCUUCUCAUGCACUUGUUGGCAAGUUUGCAGAAACUAUGAGUAGGGAAUUUGAGAUGAGCAUGAUGGGUGAGAUGACGUUCUUUCUUGGUUUGCAAAUCAAGCAAACUAGAGAAGGGACGUUUGUGCACCAAGGCAAGUACACCAAGGACGUACUCAAGAAAUUCGAUAUGGGCGAGGCCAAGCCUCUCUCGACACCCAUGUCGACCAUGACGGCCCUGGAUGCAGAUGAAGAAGGAGAAGUUGUGGACCAGAAGGAGUACCGAAGCAUGAUCGGAUCGCUACUGUACCUGACGGCGACAAGACCGGACAUCCAGUUCGCGGUCUGCUUGUGUGCGCGCUUUCAGUCUUCGUCACACACAUCUCAUUGUCAAGCUGUCAAACGAAUCUUGAGGUGUGGGGUCUGGAUGCGGUGGCAGCGGUCGGGUGAAGGUCAAGUAGGGCGUGCCGUGCUGACGGACCGGUUGCGGUGAAGGGCGGACAUGAGGCUUGGACUGACGGACCAGACGACCGGGUGGCCAGCUGCGGUGGCUGACAUUUGGGACAUCGAUAAGCGCAAGUGUACACGGCGGGGGACGCGUACGGGCUACGCAACUCGCGGCGGGUUUCGCGGGUUUGGGUCUCAAAACCCGAGCGAAGGUCCCGAUGCGGACGGAUGACACGUGGCGGCAUCGGUGAGAUCGCUUCGGAGCGAGGCUACCGAUGAGGAGGCGCGGUGGCCGUCGGAUCAGAAAAACUCGAGUUAGACCAUAGUGCCUAUGGCUAGGUGGUUCGCUCCGAAAAAUAUCUACGAGCAUUUGGGAAAUAUGUAAUAUGCAAAUAAGAGUCCCCCGUCUCCUCUAUCUUCUUUUUCCACCUCUCCCUUCUCUCUCAAUUUUUUCCCCUAGCCUUUUCCUCCCCCCGUAGUGUUCAUGUUUAGGUCUAUAGAUUUUUACUUUGUGUAAGCAACUGAAAUUUUCGAGUUGGGAAUGGAGGCCCGAAUCCUCCACAUGUCCGCUGGGAUUCAGCAAAUUUGUCUGUGAUUUUUGUUGUUCA